ensembl:lncRNA GBA1LP glucosylceramidase beta 1 like, pseudogene
CACAUUGGGAAGCCAGAAUUACUUGCAGGAGUAACCUAGUGCCUAUAGCUAUGGCAGGUACCUGCAUCCUUGUUUUUGUUUAGUGGAUCCUCUAUCCUUCAGAGACUCUGGAACCCCUGUGCUCUUCUCCUCAUCUAGUGACCCUGAGGUGAUGGAGUUUUCAAGUCCUUCCAGAGAGGAAUGUCCCAAGCCUUCGGGUAGGGUAAGCAUCAUGGCUGGCAGCCUCACAGGAUUGCUUCUACUUCAGGCAGUGUCGUGGGCAUCAGAUGAGUGCCUUCAGCCGCUACAAGAGCAGAAGCAGUGGGCAUUGGAUGGAGCUGAGUACAGGACCAUACAGGCUAAUUGCACCGGCACAGGAAUCGGAUAUAACAUCAUCUGGGUACCCAUGGCCAGCUGUGACUUCUCCAUCCGCACCUACACCUAUGCAGACACCCCUGAUGAUUUCCAGUUGCACAACUUCAGCCUCCCAGAGGAAGAUACCAAGCUCAAGAUACCCCUGAUUCACCGAGCCCUGCAGUUGGCCCAGCGUCCCGUUUCACUCCUUGCCAGCCCCUGGACAUCACCCACUCGGCUCAAGACCAGGGGAGCGGGGAAUGGGAAGGGGCCACUCAAGGGACAGCCCAGAGACAUCUACCACCAGACCUGGGCCAGAUACAUUGUGAAGUUCCUGGAUGCCUAUGCUGAGCACAAGUUACAGUUCUGGGCAGUGACAGCUGAAAAUGAGCCUUCUGCUGGGCUGUUGAGUGGAUACCCCUUCCAGUGCCUGGGCUUCACCCCUGAACAUCAGCGAGACUUCAUUGCCCGUGACCUAGGUCCUACCCUUGCCAACGGUACUCACCACAAUGUCCGCCUACUCAUGCUGGAUGACCAACGCUUGCUGCUGCCCCACUGGGCAAAGGUGGUACUGACAGACCCAGAAGCAGCUAAGUAUGUUCAUGGUAUUGCUGUACAUUGGUACCUGGACUUUCUGGCUCCAGCCAAAGCCACCCUAAGGGAGACACACCACCUGUUCCCCAACACCAUGCUCUUUGCCUCAGAGGCCUGUGUGGGUUCCAAGUUCUGGGAGCAGAGUGUGCGGCUAGGCUCCUGGGAUCGAGGGAUGCAGUACAGCCACAGCAUCAUCACAAACCUCCUGUACCAUGUGGUCGGCUGGACCGACUGGAACCCAUCAUUGUAGACAUCACCAAGCACACGUUUUACAAACAGCCCAUGUUCUACCACCUUGGCCACUUCAGCAAGUUCAUUCCUGAGGGCUCCCAGAGAGUGGGGCUGGUUGCCAGUCAGAAGAACGACCCGGACGCAGUGGCACUGAUGCAUCCCGAUGGCUCUGCUGUUGUGGUCGUGCUAAACCGCUCCUCUAAGGAUGUGCCUCUUACCAUCAAGGAUCCUGCUGUGGGCUUCCUGGAGACAAUCUCACCUGGCUACUCCAUUCACACCUACCUGUGGCGUCGCCAGUGAUGGAGCAGAUACUCAAGGAGGCACUGGGCUCAGCCUGGGCAUUAAAGGGACAGAGUCAGCUCACACGCUGUCUGUGACUAAAGAGGGCACAGCAGGGCCAGUGUGAGCUUACAGCGACGUAAGCCCAGGGGCAAUGGUUUGGGUGACUCACUUUCCCCUCUAGGUGGUGCCAGGGGCUGGAGGCCCCUAGAAAAAGAUCAGUAAGCCCCAGUGUCCCCCCAGCCCCCAUGCUUAUGUGAACAUGCGCUGUGUGCUGCUUGCUUUGGAAACUGGGCCUGGGUCCAGGCCUAGGGUGAGCUCACUGUCCGUACAAACACAAGAUCAGGGCUGAGGGUAAGGAAAAGAAGAGACUAGGAAAGCUGGGCCCAAAACUGGAGACUGUUUGUCUUUCCUGGAGAUGCAGAACUGGGCCCGUGGAGCAGCAGUGUCAGCAUCAGGGCGGAAGCCUUAAAGCAGCAGCGGGUGUGCCCAGGCACCCAGAUGAUUCCUAUGGCACCAGCCAGGAAAAAUGGCAGCUCUUAAAGGAGAAAAUGUUUGAGCCCAG